UGGGUCUUUGAGAUAUGGGUG
rnacentral:misc_RNA from 1 species